rnacentral:rRNA from 1 species
CCUACGGGAGGCAGCAGUGAGGAAUAUUGGUCAAUGGGCGAGAGCCUGAACCAGCCAAGUCGCGUGAGGGAGUACUGCCCUAUGGGUUGUAAACCUCUUUUGUCGGGGAGCAAAAGCCGGACGUGUCCGGCUGUGAGAGUACCCGAAGAAAAAGCAUCGGCAAACUCCGUGCCAGCAGCCGCGGUAAUUCGGAGGAUGCGAGGGUUAUCCGGAUUUAUUGGGUUUAAAGGGUGCGCAGGCGGAUUUUUAAGUCAGCGGUAAAAUCGUGGGGCUCAACCCCAUCCAGCCGUUGAAACUGGGGAUCUAGAGUGUGCGAGAGGUAUGCGGAAUGCGUGGUGUAGCGGUGAAAUGCAUAGAUAUCACGCAGAACCCCGAUUGCGAAGGCAGCAUACCGGUGCACAACUGACGCUCAGGCACGAAAGCGUGGGUAUCGAACAGGAUUAGAUACCCUGGUAGUC